rnacentral:tmRNA from 1 species
CCCCUUCUCAAAAGGCUCAAGAGUGCUUAUUAUAUUAGGUGUCAGCUUGUCUGACUAUGGCGAUAAACAUCAUGUGGAAUAAUUGGCACGGACCCGGGGGCGGUACCCGGCGCCUCCACCAGAUUUGAACGCGUCAGAUUAUGAGGCAAAGUCUAGGAGAAUCGAGAACCGGCGCGGAAUGUACUUUUUCGUACAUGAGCACAGAUUGCUGCGAAUCGACGACGAAUUUGUCCAUAAGAUGGUGUGUUGUAUAUGGGGGCGAAAUAGGAUCGACGUACAUGGUAAAGACUUGAUUUUUGCUCGGCAUUGUACCGCCGUUAUCGGGCUAAUUUGAAAAUGCCAACUUAAAUGUAAAGGCAUCUAACUAUAAUGGGACUGCAUCUGCCUACGCAGCUGCAUAACGUUUGACGUUAGAGCGGUUUGGGGGGCACCGGGCAACAGAAAGCCCCCUACU